rnacentral:rRNA from 1 species
GACUCUCGGCAACGGAUAUCUCGGCUCUCGCAUCGAUGAAGAACGUAGCGAAAUGCGAUACUUGGUGUGAUUGCAGAAUCCCGUGAACCAUCGAGUCUUUGAACGCAGUUGCGCCCGAAGCCACUAGGCCGAGGGCACGCCUGCCUGGGCGUCA